rnacentral:rRNA from 1 species
GACGAACGCUGGCGGCGUGCUUAACACAUGCAAGUCGAACGGAAAGGCCCCCUUGUGGGGUACUCGAGUGGCGAACGGGUGAGUAACACGUGAGUAACCUACCCUUGACUUUGGGAUAACUUCGGGAAACUGGGGCUAAUACCGGAUAGGAGCUCCUGCUGCAUGGUGGGGGUUGGAAAGUUUCGGCGGUUGGGGAUGGACUCGCGGCUUAUCAGCUUGUUGGUGGGGUAGUGGCUCACCAAGGCUUUGACGGGUAGCCGGCCUGAGAGGGUGACCGGCCACAUUGGGACUGAGAUACGGCCCAGACUCCUACGGGAGGCAGCAGUGGGGAAUAUUGCACAAUGGGCGGAAGCCUGAUGCAGCAACGCCGCGUGCGGGAUGACGGCCUUCGGGUUGUAAACCGCUUUCGCCUGUGACGAAGCGUGAGUGACGGUAAUGGGUAAAGAAGCACCGGCUAACUACGUG